GUUCCCUUUGACAGCACAUAUACUAGAAUUGGAACGACACAGAAGUCAGCAUGGCCCCAGAGCGAGGACGACACACAGAUUCAUAAAGUGUUCCAUGCUUGA